GGCAAACCGAGGGGCUGGGUGUGGUUGGUUGCCCGCGCCCCACCUCUAGCCAGGUGGCGUAGAUUUCCGGGCAAAUCUGAGCUGGCAAAGAAACACACACACUCACACAAGCUGGCAAAGAAACACACACGCGCGCCCGCGCGCCUCUGGAGGCUGCUUAGUUUCCUGGGACGUUUUUUCAUCCCAGCCCUACGACGCUGGGGACAAAAGUUUAAAAAGUUAACAGGUCAUAAGGAUACAUCGGUGGAGAAGACUAGUGUCCCUUGGACUGCAAGGAGAUCAAACCAGUUAAUCCCAAAGGAAAUCAGUCCUGAGUAUUCAUUGGAAGGACUGAUGCUGAAGCUCCAAUGCUUUGGCCACCUGAUGUGAAGAACUGCCUCACUGGAAAACAGCCUGAUGCUGGGAAAGAUUGAAGGGAGGAGGAGAAGGGGAGGACAGGAUGAGAUGGUUGGAUGGCAUCACCGACUCAGUGGACAUGAGUUUGAGCAAGGUCGGGGAGCUGGAUGGACAGGGAAGCCUGGUGUGCUGCAGCCCAUAGGGUUGCAAAGAGUCGGUAACGACUGAAGGACUGAAAUGAACUGAACUGAACUGAAGGAUACAUCUAAACUGAGAUAGGGAGAAAUAAUCAGCCAUCACUUGUGGUGUCCUACGUUACAGUUUUAGAAUGUCUCCAUUGUUUCAGUGCAUUUCUCAAGUGUGGUGCUGGUGGUGGUGGGGAAGGGGGUACCUGCAUAAGAAAACUUGAGAUGGUUGUUAAAAUGCAGAUGUCUGGUCAUCACCCCUGUCCUCCUGAGUUAAAAUAUUGGAGAAGGAUGAAGCUCAACAACUAUUCCCAGCUGAUGCUGAUGUAUUCUAAUCUGGGGGAAAUAGUAUCACAACAGACUUCUCACAUUUGAUAUUAAUGCAGAUUCUGAUUCAGUGGAUAUGGGAUGUUACCUAAGACUGUGUUUCUAACAAGCUCCCAGGUAGGUGUUGCCCAAUGGUGCUUGUUCAUGGAUCAUUAUUUGAGUACCAGGGCUGUGGUGGAAAGAACAGGAUUUGGCAUAAAAAGACCUAGGUUUGAAUUCUGACUGUAUAAAUUAAUGGCUAUAUGAUUGUAGGGGCUUCCCUACGAUGGUAAAGAAUUUGCCUGCCAUGCCGGAGACCCAGGUUCAAUCCCUGGUUCGGGACGAUCCCCUGGAGAAGGAAAUGGCAACCCAUUUUAGUAUUCUUGCCUGGAGAAUCCCAUGGGCAGAGGAGCCUGGUGAGCUACAGUUCAUGAGAUUGCAAAGAGUCAGACACGACUGAGUGACUAACACACUUAUGUGAUCUUAAAUGCAAUGAGUUGUCUCUUUGCCUCAGUUUUCUUGUUUGUAAAAUGGGAACUUUUUUGGAAUUGUGGAUAAAAUAUUUAGAGGGAGCUAUAUGUGACUAAGAAAGUGAUGAGAAAUCCAAGAAAAAAAAUCUAGUUAGAUAUCUGCCUCAUCAAAAUAAAACAAAGCUUGAAAUGUAAAAAUAAAAAAAAACCAUAGAUCUACUAGAACUACUACUACUUUAGAAGUUACUGAAGAUUUGUAAAAUUUUGGAAGGGAAAAGCCUUUCUAAUCAAAACCAAAGAUAGAAAUUAUGAAAAAAGGUUGAUAGCUUUGUCAGCAAAAAACUAAAGGCUUC
ensembl:lncRNA